GCCUCCACAGCCCACGAACUCGCGGCCUCUCCUCAACCCCACCGCCGCCGCAGGCCGUCGCCGUCGCCGUUGCCCCACCUCCUCGCUGAGAGCUCUACAGUGCAGGGGAAUGGCGCCGGCGCCGCCCAAGAUGUGGCUGUCCGUGGGGAUCAACAAGGGUCCGGCGUCACCAAGCGCGAGCUCCCGCCCGCCCGUCCGGCCGCAAAGGGAAAAUUACCAAGAGGGUCCAUUUUGUUAGGAACUUGAUCAGGGAAGUUGCUGGAUUCGCGCCAUAAGAAAAGCGUGUCACCGAGCUUCUGAAGGUUGGAAAAGAUAAACGUGCACUCAAGGUAGCCAAGAAAGCUAGGCACACACAAGAGAGCCAAGAAGAAGUGUGAGGAGAUGUCCGGUGUUCUUAGGAAGAUAAGAGCUGCUGGAACCGCCGAGAGGAAGAAGUGAGGCGGCUCGAAUCGUUGAGAAGUGUCGAAGUAGCAAAGUAUUACUGACGGACGCUUCCGGCGCACAUCUUUGCAGCGUGGUUCCCUCGCAUCUCGUGUCAGCGGAUUUUGUGCAUUUGAUGAUGGAAUCAACCGUAAGCUUUGAUUGAUGUCGAGAAAAGAUGUGGCCGUCGAGCAGUUUUGAUCUGGUGAUUUCUGCAUGAUCUCAAGAAUGAGAACCCAGUUGUAAGAUAACCACUGAAACUCUGAAGGGGGGGAUCCAGAUCCAAGAAAUCUGCUGAAACUGGAGAGGCGUCAGCUCU